CUCUUAGGGUGAGAAGACUAAUGGAUCUUGUCUAAAGAGUUGGAGGAUCUUAGAACAUUUCCCAGUGGGUCCUGAAACCAGCAAUUGCUCCUUGAAUUCUGGUUGUUUAAGUAGAGCAAAAGUACGGAGAACUAAUAACUAAAAAGAUGAACCCAAGCACAGAGAGACCCACAAUUAGGUAGCUGAGUUACCUUUCUUCAAAGGACUAUAGAUGUCUAUGCAGAAACCUGAAUGAGCAAGUCAACAUCAUAACACAGGUCCAUCUUACUUGUAGAAGGUGGAGGACCAGUCUAUUCAACCAACAUCAUAUGGGGCAUGCAAAUCAAUGCAAUUUGUGGGCCAUGUUUAGAUAUGGGUGCAACAUAAUUUCUGUUUCUUAGUUCAUGAUUUUGGAUUACUCUGAAUAUUCUAAUGUGUAAAGAGAUAAAAAUUCAUAUAUUUUUAGUUUAUAUCCAUCGUCUUAGUGAAUUCAGGAUGCUAUCACAAAGUACCAUAGAUUGGGUGGUUCAAAAACAACAGAAAUUUAUGUCACACUAUUCAUUAGGCUGAAGGUCUGAGAUCAGGAUGUCAACAUGAUCGAAAAUUGGUGAGUGUCCUCUUCCAGGUUGCAGAUGAUUGUUUUCUCAUUGUAUUUUCACACCGGAGAGAGGAGAGACCAGAAGGCUCUUCCAUGACUCUUACAUGGGCACUAAUCCUAUUCAACAGGGCUGGGCCCUCAUGAUCCCAUCUAAUCUUAAUAAUAAUCUCCAAAAGGCCCUACAUCCUGAUGUCAUCACAUUGGAGGAGGUAGGAUUUAGACACAUGAAUUUUGGAGGGUUACAAACAUUCCACCUCUUAUACCUACUGAUGUUAAAUGAAUGCUGGAGAGCAUUUAAAAUAUUCCCCAUUCAGAAGCAAGGUACAGUUGAGAGUGUUUGGCAUCUUACUUGACUCAAUCUCUGUAGGAAGAGAAUAGUUGCAUUACCCAAGUUUCUGUCUAUUUCCUGGGAGCAAUUCUAGUUUAAUCGCUAUUCUUAUGUAUGAGUAUAAAGGCCUGGUUCUGUUGUGUCAAUAUUAGACACAUUUGACAGACCAUUUCAACUCCAGAACAUCUGGUAGGUUCAGCUGAGGUUGAACUGAAUCACAUUUCAACUCCUCCAUUGUUCAAUUCAUCUCAAAACCUUUUCUCUUGUGUCAAUAUUAGACACAUUUGAUAGACCAUUUCAACUCCAGAAUAUCUGGUAGGAUCAGCUAAGGUCUCUGGUAGAAUUGAAUCACAUUUCAACUCCUCCUUGUUCAAUUCAUCUCAAAAACUUUUCAGGAAUUUUUUUUUCUUCAAAAUGUACUACCAGAUAAACUCAUACACCUGAGAGAGUUAAAACAUCUGUAGACUGUAUGGAAGUCUUCCUACAGGUUUCUAGUAUGAACCCUUCCUACAACAUACUGAAAUUUGAUUUUACUCUAUUCAGAUGUUAUCAUACAAUUCAAAAAUAGCUACAGGCCCACAAAAUAUUUAAAAUAAAUAUUAGAUGAUUUUUUUUUCUGUUUUUAAUAGGAUUAACAAUGAUCAUAUUAUGAAAUUAUCUUGUGGUACUUCUCAGCCUUGGAUGUUGCUAAGUAUACUUUCCCUAUUUGUGAAUGGUGUUUCUGUGCUGGAAUUUGCAACUAUGGACAAGAAACCAACCUUUUUAAAAGUGAAAGUUUCAAAAGUGCAAUGCAAAGUACAAUUAUGCUACUGAUAAAAACUACUAAAAUAGCCAAGAAUGCAACAUUUGCCAUUAAAAUUUAUGAUAAUUUUAAAUGAUUUGCUGUGACAUUUAUGUUAAAACUCAACUUUUCUGUGUGGUAAUAUUUGUGCUUAUAUUCGUAUGUACAUGACAUCAAACACUGCAUAAUCCAUAGUUUAGUAAGCCAUUUUACAAAUGAAAUGUAUUUAUCACAACUAUAGUUUUCUAAGUAGGCUUUCAUUUACUAAUGCAAAUAGAUUUCACUAACUAUAUUUAUCUCAAUGAAUGCACAUAUGGAAGGAUUUAGUCUUCAUUUGCUUAUUUUAUUGGCUGGUUUUCUGAGAUAUUAUUACAGAUAAA
rnacentral:lncRNA from 10 species